UGAUAGCUCAGUUGGUAUAGCAUGAGACUCGUAAUCUUACGGUCGUGGGUUUGAGCCCCACAUUGGAAAAA